CCUACGGGAGGCAGCAGUGGGGAAUAUUGCACAAUGGGGGAAACCCUGAUGCAGCGACGCCGCGUGAGUGAGGAAGGAUUUCGGUACGUAAAGCUCUAUCAGUAGGGAAGAAAAUGCCGGUACCUGACUAAGAAGCCACGGAUAACUACGUGCCAGCAGCUGCGGUAAUACGUAGGGGGAAAGCGUUAUCCGGAUGUACUGGGGGUAAAGGGAGCGUAGACGGAAUGGCAAGUCUGAUGUGAAAAUGCGGGGACCAACCCCCGAAGUGCAUUGGAAACUGUAUGUCUAGAGUGGCGGAGAGGCAAGUGGAAUUCCAUGUGUAGCGGUGGAAUGCGUAGAUAUCAGGAGGAACACCAGUGGCGAAGGCGGCUGGCUGGACGGUAACUGACGUUGAGGCUCGAAAGCAUGGGGAGCGAACAGGAUUAGAUACCCUAGUAGUC
rnacentral:rRNA from 1 species